UUGCACAGAUCGUAACCUGCCUCAGUACAUAGUCUGAAGUUUGGGUUCCAUUCCUGUGCCAGAGCAAUCCUUCCAGUGAGGCAGGGGAGCGGUACAGUUAUUGUGCUGUCUCCCAGGGAGAGCGGUACCUGUUGUGUUGCCUCCCUGUUCACUCUCUGGGAACAGUC